AUGAAUUUUUAAAAGGACACUGAGAUCUUCAAACAGAGGCUGCCACUCUAAGCAAACAGAUCCCGAGCCCUGGACUCUGAAGCUUGGGCCCAGUUCUCCUUUUCUCCGGGUUUCAGAUCCCACUGUGAAGUGAGGGGGCCCUUCUGAUUCAGGACCCGGGGAAGCCAGGGGCAUGAGCAUCGGUGCCUCUUCUCUAUUUCAAGGACCCUUCUGGGUGUAAAGUUCUCUGAGAUGCCUUACAUGGAUUCCCACCACUGCAAGAUAACCAUCGUAUGUAAAGUGUUAUGACCAGCAGAGCGUAAUUGAAGUGCAUUCCAGAGGGAAAGACAGCGGCUCAGAUGAGGCUUCAG
rnacentral:lncRNA from 1 species